CGCUGGCGGCGCGCCUAACACAUGCAAGUCGAACGAGCGAGAGAGAGUUUACUUUUUCGAGCGAGUGGCGAACGGGUGAGUAACGCGUGAGGAACCUGCCUCAAAGAGGGGGACAACAGUUGGAAACGACUGCUAAUACCGCAUAAGCCCACGGGUCGGCAUCGACCAGAGGGAAAAGGAGCAAUCCGCUUUGAGAUGGCCUCGCGUCCGAUUAGCUAGUUGGUGAGGUAACGGCCCACCAAGGCAACGAUCGGUAGCCGGACUGAGAGGUUGAACGGCCACAUUGGGACUGAGACACGGCCCAGACUCCUACGGGAGGCAGCAGUGGGGAAUAUUGCACAAUGGGGGAAACCCUGAUGCAGCGACGCCGCGUGGAGGAAGAAGGUCUUCGGAUUGUAAACUCCUGUUGUUGAGGAAGAUAAUGACGGUACUCAACAAGGAAGUGACGGCUAACUACGUG
rnacentral:rRNA from 1 species